rnacentral:rRNA from 1 species
CAAAUCCGCGUUGAUAAUGCUGGGAGGUGAGGGGGAGCGAAAUUGAUAAGAGAAGUAGCUGAUUUCACACUGUCAGGAUAAGUCUCGAUCAAGGUUAAAGGGACCCGGACCGCAAACCGACACAGGUGGGUGAGGAGAGUAUCCUAAGGCCAGCGAGAGAACUGUUGUGAAGGAACUCGGCAAAAUGACCCCGUAACUUAGGGAGAAGGGGUGCCACCAUCAGGUGGCCGCAGAGAAUAGGCCCAAGCGACUGUUUACCAACAACAUAGGUUUCUGCUAAGUCGCAAGACGAUGUAUAGGAGCUGACGCCUGCCCGGGGCUGGAAGGUUAAGGGGAUCUGUUAGAGCAAUCGAAGCAGUGGACUUAAGCCCCAG